rnacentral:rRNA from 1 species
AUUGAACGCUGCGGCAGGCUUAACACAUGCAAGUCGAGCGAGCGGCGGACGGGAGAGUAAUGCUUAGGAAUCUGCCUAUUAGUGGGGGACAACAUCUCGAAAGGGAUGCUAAUCCCGCAUAAUAAUAGAUGAGCCUAAUUCGGAUUAGCUAGUUGGUGGGGUAAAGGCUUACCAAGGCGACGAUCUGUACUGGGUCUGGGAGGAUGAUCAGACACACUGAUACUGAGACACGGCCCAGACUCCUACGGGAGGCAGCAGUGGGGAAUCUUGGACAACUGGGAGAACCUUGAGCCAACCAUGCCGCGUGUGUGAAGAUGGCCUUAUGGUUGUAAAGCACUGUAAGCGAGGAGGCGUUACUCCCAGAAUAAGCACCGGACUACUCUGUGCCAGCAGCCGCGGUAAUAC